rnacentral:rRNA from 1 species
GGAUACGAUCACACCAGCAUUAAUGUAUUGGAUCACAUUACAAUUUCGCAGUUAAGCGUGUGUAGACGAAAAGAAUACUAGGAUAAGUGAUCUUAGGAAGUAUUUGUAUUGCAUCUC